rnacentral:rRNA from 1 species
UACGGAGGGGGCUAGCGUUGUUCGGAAUUACUGGGCGUAAAGCGCACGUAGGCGGCUUUGCAAGUUAGAGGUGAAAGCCCGGGGCUCAACUCCGGAAUUGCCUUUAAAACUGCAUCGCUAGAAUUGUGGAGAGGUAAGUGGAAUUCCGAGUGUAGAGGUGAAAUUCGUAGAUAUUCGGAAGCACACCAGUGGCGAAGGCGGCUCACUGGACUGGUAUUGACGCUGAGGUGCGAAAGCGUGGGGAGCAAACAGG